rfam:Belliella pelovolcani strain DSM 46698 genome assembly, contig: Ga0111625_110
ACAAUGGAGAGUUUGAUCCUGGCUCAGGAUGAACGCUAGCGGCAGGCCUAAUACAUGCAAGUCGAACGGGAUCUAGAAGCUUGCUUUU